CCUUUGACGUCUUCCCCCGGGAGGUGGCGGGGGUCUGCGACCGAAUGCCGGCGGGACUCUGGGUCAGGGCUUCUGGCGGGCCCUGCGGGGGGCAGCGAGGUGACCGUGAACCUGCGGCUCAUGGCGCGGAAAGGAGCCAGGCGGCCGCGGCAAGGUCCGGGAUCGCACAAGUGGCUGCAACCAGGCUCUAGGAGGGAGAAAGAGCGGAUCCCCCAACCCCCUCCGCCCGCCCGCCCCCCGCGAGACGCGGCGCCGCGCAGGGUCCUAGUGCCCGCUGUGCGAAGGGUUCCUGAAUCUGGCCACUUCGCUGGGAGGCCCUGGGCUCCCCAGUGCCACCCGAAGGGCCUGAGGAGGCCAUCUGCAGAAUUUGACCACUCACUAAGAGGAGCUUAGUGUGGUGUCUCACGAAGGGAUCCUCCUCAGCCCUCACCUCGGUACUGGAAGACGUCGUGCGUGUCCAAAGGCACCCCGGGGAACAUCCGGUCCACCUCGCUGGCGCUCCGGGGAUCCACCAUCUGCGCCUUCACGUCGAAC
rnacentral:lncRNA from 1 species